AAGAGAUUUCCAGACAGUCAAGGAUGCAACAGAGAGUUUUGUGAAGUGGGCAAAUGACAAGCUGGAGGAGCAGGAUGAGGAGAUGGGCAUGGAGGUGGAGGUUUCACUACCGCAGAGGAGGCCAAAGAAGAAGAAGUCCAUGCCAGGAGAGAUGGCCUAGGAUGAAACUUCCAAUGACCCAAGCAAGACGUAUGAGGUUAAAGUCCAUAACCAAAUUAUGGACACCGUUAUUGAGGCCAUGCAAAGACGAUUCCUCGAUAACAGCAAUCUGUAUGCGGACCUCUCAAUUCUUGACCCCCGAAACUUCCCAGAUAUCAAAACCAGUGGUCUUCCUGAGUCUGCACUAAAAGACCUAAGCAGAAGUCUCAUCAAAUUUAACAAUUCGGCAACCAUAUCAAAUUUACAAUCUGAACUUGAAAGCUUGGCAAGCCAGUGGGACAUGCUGAAGCGUCCACCACUAGAUGAGUACACAUCCCGUACUGUGGAGGAAGGACCUGGUGGAGACCCAGAGAUGGAAAUUGUCAGCAAAGCCUGUGCCUCAUGUAAAAACUGCCCCCUGUGUUGCUACCAGAUUCUCCUCAGAUUCAACCUGCUCACAGACGCAUACCCUCUUCUUUCUCUGUCCUACAAAUAUCUGCUGACACUCUCAGUGACACAGGUAGCCUGCGAAAGAUCAUUUUCAACUUUGAAAUUCAUCAAGAGCAGGCUGAGGAGCAGCUUAUCUGCUGGUAAAUUGGAGGCCUUCAUGCUGAUGUCCACAGAAAAGGACAUCCUCAUGGGAUUGGACACAGACAGUGUCAUAGACAGAGUGGCCGAAAAAAGUGAACUUCUUCGGAAGCUCCUACUCUACUAAAGAAGCCUCUGUCUCAGGUUGUGGCGACGACUUGCUUUCACAAAGGUUCCAUUUCAGGAUUGUGAGAUUGGAUUGUGAGGAUUGUUUUUGGAGAUAGACAGACGUUUGGUUUCUGGGGCUUCACAUGUACAUAGUUCUUACUGGAUUGACGGGGUUUGUGAGCGUUGGUUCCGGUGAAGUCAGCUAUUCACC